ACUGUGGUGAUUAGGAGCGGGUACGACUACGAGGUCAGGCUUGCGCAGAAGAGCCGCGAGUGGCUUGAGGUGCUAAACGGUCUCUUUGCGAGGAUCUUCGGGAGAAGCGGCUCCAUAUACCGCGAGAAGAGGAGAGGCGCGUCCGGCGCCGUGAGGACAUAUUACGUCCUGAGGAUAUUCGACAAGAGAGUGGUCGGCGAGCUGAUAAGGCUCUUCAACAUAGCUACGCCGCAGACCAGGUGGGGAACCCCCGACGUAAUAAGGCGCGCAGGCGCAGACAUUGUGAAACACUACGUGAGGGGGUUCUUCGACGCCGAGGGCGGCUUGCCCAAAGAUCCCGCCCGCGCCAAACAGCGCUACAUCUCCUUCGACCAGGCAAACCUCGACGCCCUGGCCUUCAUCAGAAGCCAACUGGCUCAGAUGGGCUACCGCCCUACGAGGAUCACCAAGACGGGGGACGUGUGGCAGUUCAGGCUGACGCGGAGGGCCGACAUUAUGAGAUUUAGAAACGAAAUCGGGUCGUGGCACCCAGAGAAGAAACGGAGGCUCGACCUCCUGUACGCCUCCCUGGGACGAUAAGACCUCCUUUUUCCCCUCCAACCAUCCUCUUUAUCCAACCGCCCAGCUCCCGCCUCCCCCUGAAUUGGCGGGGGGGCACCACAAGGGGUGAAGCUUGCGGCUUAAUUGGAGUCAACGCCGGAAACCUUACCGGGGCUGACGGCAGGAUGAAGGUCGGGCUGACGACCCUACCUGACGAGCCGAGAGGAGGUGCAUGGCCGUCGCCGGUGCGUGCCGUGAGGUGUCCUGUUAAGUCAGGCAACGGACGAGACCCGCGCCCCCAGUUGCCAGCGGCCGAGAGGCGCCGGGCACUCUGGGGGGACUGCCCCCGAAAGGGGGAGGAAGGAGCGGGCUACGGCAGGUCGGUAUGCCCCGAAUGCCCCGGGCCGCACGCGACGUUCAAUGGCGGGGACAGCGGGAUGCGACCCCGAAAGGGGGAGCCAAUCCCUAAACCCCGCCUCAGUAGGGAUCGAGGGUUGCAACUCGCCCUCGUGAACGCGGAAUCCCUAGUAACCGCGCGUUAACACCGCGCGGUGAAUACGUCCCCGCUCCUUGCACACACUGCCCAUCGCUCCACCCGAGCUGGGUUCGGGUGAGGCCCGCUCAAGUUGGGCGGGUCGAGCCCGAACCCGGUGAGGGGGGAGAAGUUGUAACAAGGUAGCCGCACCGGAAGGUGUGGCUG
rnacentral:rRNA from 1 species